CCUACGGGGGGCAGCAGUGGGGAAUAUUGCACAAUGGGGGAAACCCUGAUGCAGCGACGCCGCGUGAGUGAAGAAGUAUCUCGGUAUGUAAAGCUCUAUCAGCAGGGAAGCUAAUGACGGUACCUGACCAAGAAGCCCCGGCUAACUACGUGCCAGCAGCCGCGGUAAUACGUAGGGGGCAAGCGUUAUCCGGAUUUACUGGGUGUAAAGGGAGCGUAGACGGCAGCACAAGUCUGGAGUGAAAUCCCGGGGCUUAACCCCGGAACUGCUUUGGAAACCGUGCGGCUGGAGUGUAGGCGGGGUAAGCGGAAUUCCUAGUGUAGCGGUGAAAUGCGUAGAGAUUAGGAGGAACACCGGUGGCGAAGGCGGCUUACUGGACUGUAACUGACGUUGAGGCGCGAAAGCGUGGGGAGCAAACAGGAUUAGAUACCCUUGUAAUC
rnacentral:rRNA from 1 species